rnacentral:lncRNA from 12 species
GUACAGGGAUCGUCUUUUAAGAAUAUGAAGUAUAACAUUACAGAGAAAAGGAAAUCUAUUUUCUCUUUAUAACGUCAUAAUUCUAUUGUAAUGGGCAGUUCCUUCUAAUAAUAUGCUACACCCUCUCUUCUUGCUGCUGUGCAGAUAUAAUAGCUGUUAUGAAUGCUGUUGUUUGGAAAUGUUGAAGAUGGAUUUAGUAGCAUUAAUAUCCAUCCUGCAAGAUGCAGCAUCCUAGGGUUUGAACAAAGGCUCUGUGUCACUACCCAGUGACAUUGUGCAGAUGGCCUCAUGAUGAGUAGUAACGACUCACCAUAAAUACAGGAGAGAAGAAUAGCGAUUUUGACAGACUGUGAUAGCUAAAAUUGGAAAGCAGAAUAAAAAAGGCAUUUGAGUUAGAAAUCAGAUGUUAAAUGUACGAGUGGAACUAAAACGGUCUGUGGUAAAUAGUAGGCACUCUAUAGACAUGUUGAUUGAAUGAAAAGGGAAAUUUUCUUAAUGUUUUCAAUGUCUUAAAUGAACUAGAUAUGUCACCUAAGAAAAUUAUGUAAAUAUUAACUACUUUUGUGUGUUCUUUCUUUGAUUGGCAGCUUAAUGAAGGUUGACUAUAUGUAUCUAAUCGACAUGGAAGUUUUUCUACUCAGAUGUCACAGGUCAGCUAAGACCCACGGGCUUAAAGUUUUCCAGAUGAUAUCAAGUCUUGACCUAGUGGAAAGUAGUGAGAGGAGGAGAAAAAGCACAGACUUUACUGACUGAAGGCAGAAGGAGUAGAAUAUGAGGAAGCAACUCCAUAUUUACUCUGCAUCUAUUCACCUAACCUCUGGAAGGUGACAAAGGGUUAGGUGAGCUCUCUCUGGAAGAUGACAUAGGGUUAGGUGAGCCUCUGGAAAGUGACAUAAGGUUAGGUGAGCUCUCUGUUCACAAAUUUCCUUCAUCUCCAGUUCAGGGGUGGAGGGGAGGGUACGUACCUAUGUGGGCAUGGGGUAUGGCAUGGAGAGAAGAACAGGAAAAGAAAAGGUAAAGAGGAAGAAAUUAUGCCAAAGUACUUCUGGGUUUUCAGAGGCCUCAGUAGAGGGUACUUAAGGUUUCUUCGUUCCCUCAGCUUAUCUACCCUUGUAAUUAGGUAGGAGCCCUUGACAGGAAGACAGCCUGAUUCUCUCUGGAGGGGACCUUUAUAGUGCUGCCCAAUUGGCUGAGCUUCAUUGAUGGAUGGCUGGAG